AGGCUAAGGGAAAAGCAGUUUGGCAGGAGAGUCAAGAAUUUGGAAACGUUACGGAGACAUUGGCUAUUGAGUCUAGAAUUCAGGAAAGAAGUUAGGGCUGAACAUAUUAUGUUUGUGGAACUCAUCGGCAUAUGGACAGUAUUUAAAGCCAUGUUCUUUUAUGAGUUCCCCAAGAGUACUUUUGUCUUGAAGGUCUUCCAAAUGUAGGAGGAGAUGUUGUCAAUUUGCGGACUAAAAUUCAAACUCAUAGAAUAGAUUUUUUUUUAAUCUUUAACAUCUGUUAAAGAAGAAUCUCAUUUAGAUAUGAAAAAAUGUAUUUCUAUCAUGACAGACGGUGCUCCCGUUACAGUUAGGGCAAAAAUCCAUAUUCAUUAAAAUUUUAAAACAAUAGACUGACAUUUCUCUUUUUAUCACUUUGUUCCAUUGUAUGAUACAUGUUGAAAAUAACUGUGCUCAGUUUUUUGAAGCAGACGGUACAAAAAGUGUCACAAAUACAGCUGUUAAAAAUCAUUCAGUAAAUAUGUACAAAUGAUUAAUCAUUGUCAGUUAAUAGAACGGUUAAAACAAAUAGCAGGCAAUAGAUUAAAUGGUCUUGUGUUCUUGGCUACUGCUAUUUGUUCAUGUCAUGCAAGCACUUUACAAAAAUUUACUGUACUGUUAACUCUUAUUUGAAAUUUUCUUGAAACACGGGAACAGUUGCCAAAUAUGCAAUAAUCAAAGACAAAAGGGGCAGAGAUUUACGGCCAGUCAUAGAUAUCACACUGCAUAUAAAUGAGCUAAAUUUGAAGUACCAAGAAAAGGCAAGGCUUAUUUGUGACCUAAACAACUACAAAAAUUUAUAUUAAAGGUAAAUGUUACAUAGAGGAGUUCCCGUCGUGGGGCAGUGGUUAACGAAUCCGACUAGGAACCAUGAGGUUGCGGGUUCGGUCCCUGCCCUUGCUCAGUGGGUUAACGAUCAGGUGUUGCCGUGAGCUGUGGUGUAGGUUGCAGACGCGGCUCGGAUCCUGCGCUGCUGUGGCUCUGGUGUAGGCUGGCAGCUACAGCUCCGAUGCGACCCCUAGCCUGGGAACCUCCAUAUGCCGCAGGAGUGGCCCAAAGAAAUAGCAAAAAAAAAAGUUUUAUGUAAAUUUGUUGUGAAAAUUACAAGAAAAUUUUGAAGCACACUUUGUUUAUAUUGAUAAAUACAGAGCUGUUUUUUAAUUUAUAUCAUACCUCCUUUGAAUUUGAUGUUAGCAGUAUUUUACUGGCACAAGUGUUAGUGAAUUCACCUAACCUGGACAGAGGUCAUUCCAAAACUCGUUUUGGCUUCAAAGUUAAACUGGUGCUUCUAAAACAGAUAAGCCGGGUUUGCCGAUGUCUAAGAAGACACUACUUUUCAGUACUCGAUUUAGUUAUUGGAAACUUUUAAGUAUGUUUGGAAAAACUCGGGUAUGUGAACUUAAUUUUUGUUUAUCUACUUCAUGAAAUUUGAAUGCAGAUCAAGUAUUGCCAAUGAAAAUCCUACAAUUAACAUCCAAAUUGAGAUGUGCUGUAAAUGUAAAAUCCAUAGCAGAUGUCAAAGAGUUUGGUAAAAAACAGAGAAUGUAAAAAUAUCUCAUUAAUACCUAUUAUACUGAUUGCAUGUUGAAAUGAGAUUUUUUUUUUAUAUUGAGUUAAACAGAACAUGCUAUCAAAUCUAAUUUUUUUUCUUUGAUUUUUAGGGCCGCACCUGCAGCACAUGGAAGUUCCCAGGCUAGGGGGUCAAAUAAGAGCUACAGCUGUCAGCCUACACCACAGCCCCAACAAUGUGAGAUCCAAGCCGAGACUGCAACCUAUACCACAGCUCACAGCAAUGCCAGAUCCUUAACCCACUCAGCGAGGCCAGGGAUCAAACCCGCAUCCUCAGGAAUACUAGUUGGAUUCAAAUAUUUCCGCUGCGCCACAACAAGAACUCCCUCAAAUUUAAUUUCACCUGUUUUUUUUUUUUUUCAUGCAACUACUAGAAAAUUGUAAAUAACAUAUGCAGCCUGCAUUAUAUUUUUAUGGGACAGCCCUGGUCAGGGAUAUGGGCAGCUGUGACUCUGCUUGCAUGUCGGAGGGUGAGAGCCUGAGAGAAUGGUGCUGGAUGGACCUAGAAAUUCUCAUACUAAGUGAAGCGAGUCAGAAAAAGAAAGACAAAUACCACAUGAUAUCACUUACGUGUGGAAUCUAAAAUGUGACACAAGUGAACUUAUUUACAGAACAGAAACAGAGUCAGACACCGAGAAUAGACUCGUGGUUGCCAAGAAGAGGGGUGGAUUGGGAGUUUGGGACUGGCAGAUGCAAACUAUUAUGUAUGGGAUGGAUAAACAACAAAGUCCUCCUGUAUAGUACAGGGAACUAAAUUCAUCAUCUUGUGAAAAAGCAUAAUGCAAAAGAAUAUGAUAUCUAUAUCUAUCUAUCUAUCUGUCUAUCUACAUGCAUAGCUGAAAUUACCUUAUUGUAUAGAGAAAUCAACACAACAUUGCAAACAACUAUAUGUUAAUAAGUUUUUUAAAAAAACUUUAGGGAGUUCCCUUCAUGGGCUCAGCGGUUAACGAACCUAAGAUCCAGGAAGAUGCGGGUUCAAUCCCUGGCCUCAAUCAGUGGGUUAAGGAUCUGGCAUUGCCAUGAGGUGUGGUAUAGGUGGCAGACGCAGCUUGGAUCCCACAUUGCUAUGGCUGUGGUGUAGGCCAGCAGCUGCAGCUCCAAUUUGACCCCUAGCCUGGGAACCUCCAUAUGCCGCAGGUGCAGCCCUAAAAAGCAAAAAAAAAAAAUUUGAAAAGAGAGAAUGUUGCUCUAUAACCAAUAUAUAAUGGAUGUGAAAUAUCUCAUUAGGAACCUCUCUAAGCUUGGGUAUACAUUACAGGUGUUAUAUUUGAGGAGUCAUUUAUUUUAAUCCAAUAAGACAUAAAUUUUCUGUUAAGACCUUAAUCAGGAAGUGGUUCUCCCACUCAAAAAUAUCAAACUCAUCUGCUGGUUUUAAACAUGACAAAUUUGGCAGAGAGGCUGUAAAGAACAAAGAACACAGAUCCUGAGCAUUCAGAUCAAAGUGACCAACAGUAUCCACAGCCUCAACACUUCGCGGUGAAGCCUGCAACCAGAAUUGACAAAGCAUUUCAUAAAGAAGUUAGCUUACCUGAACUAGCCUUGGUGUACAGGCAGACCUCCUUCUCUUGGGCUUCACUUAACUGCACUUUGCAAAAACUGUCUGUCACAAAUUGAGAGGUUGCAUCAAGCAAGUCUGUUGGUGCCAUUUUUCCAACAGCAAUUGUUCACUUCAUGUUUCUGUGACACAUUUCACAGUAUUUCUCAAACAUUUCAAACUUCUUUCAUUAUACUUGUUAUGAUGAUCUGUGAUGAGAAAUCUCCAAUGUUACGACCACGACUUGCUGAAGGCUCAAAAGAAUGCUUUGCAUUUUUUAACGAUGAAGUAUUUUUAAUUAAGGUAGGAACAUUGUUUUAGACAUAAUGUUAUUGCACACUUAAUAGAUGAUAGUGCAAACCAAACUUUUUUAUGAACUGGGAAACAAAAACAUUUAUGUGACUCAUUUCAUUGCACUAUUUGCUUUACUGCAGUGGUCUGGAACCGAACCAGGUAUCUCCAAGGUAUACCUGUGUAGACAUUAUACCAUGAACAAGUGCAUGAGCAAAGAUCAACUUUAUAAAUCCUGAAGUAGCCAGCACAGUAUAGCUAGAAAUGACUCUGCCUACACAGGGGCAUCUACAAAGCCAGAAAGAAAAAGAGGCUGCCCAGGCCAGACACUCUGUUAGGCACACUGGCUGAGUGUUGGCAACACUGACUUAAUAAGAAAGAAUUAGAAAUGAAUAUUAAAACCCACUAUAAUCUAUUCAUAGUUGAUGCAUAAUUUGUGCAUUUAUUAUCUAUAAGGUUAAAAAAUAGGAAGUCUCAUUCAGUAAUCUGAGUUCAUACAUUCACAACUUAAAUGUUCACCAUUUUUACAAAAACCUACUGUAAGUACACAACCCAUGUAAGGACAUUUAUAAAGAUAUGAGGACAGAGUGAAUCCUCAGUAACAAGACUAGAUGCUGGUGCCUGAACAGGAAAACAAAUGCACAGACCCUCCUAGAGAAUCCAGAGACCUGUUUCCGUGGAGAUGUGCUACAGCUGGCCCUCCCUCCUUCCCAAAUCAGGAAAGAACCAACAUCUUUACAUCAGUGCUUGGAUGGUACAUACGAUUCUGAAGAAUAAUAUGGGAAAGAGAUCACCUGGAAGGUAUACUGUUGGAGGAGGUUACUGUGAAGACACGACUGCCAAAUGACCCAUGGACCCGGGCAACUGAGGCUUCUCACCAUCUCCUUGUCCCCGAAUACACAUCUUUCCCCGAACUGGGAGCCACUGGAAGGAUGCGGGCUUGAGAGAGCAGGGCGUUGUUGGGACCAUUUGAAUGGUGCGCUUGGCUGGACCCCAUAACGCCUCUAUAUAAACACUUUCAAGUCUAUGGAUGCGAGUGGAGAUCUUUGCCCUGUGGCUGCUCCUGACAAGCCUGGCAGGUAAGCUCCCUUGCUUUGUAAACAUGCCACCUACCAAUCAGACGUGGUCUGCCCCUUCCUCCUUGCCUUCUGUGUACAGAGUCCAGUUUCUGUUUUCAUCCCAGGGAACUCCUGAGGUUGCAAACCAACAGAGAAUCAUAUUCCCAAUAUCCUCAGUAGAUGUAAAGAGAAAUGGCCUGAGAAUAAGGUACCAGCCUUGACCCUAUCGUGUAUGGAUGUUAUUUCACCUCUCUUUCUUUUAAAUGUGAAAGUGAAAACUAUGCUUCUCAGCUGGAGGAUCCCAUCAGAAUUCCCUAAGAAGUUUUUCUUUUAUAUAGUCAUCUCGGGGGGGAUUCUUACCUGCCAUGACUGGGGCAAGACUGGGGAGGUGAGGAAGAGGGGCCUGGUCAUUAUAGCUUUGGAAAAACCUCCAGGCUAGUCCCAUAUUCUGGUCCCCUUGUGCACCCCACCCCGAGCUUCAGUCCCCAGCCAACUAAAACAAGCCCUGAUUCUAUGACUCAGUGAAUCAUGAAAUAAUCGAAUAGAUAUGGCAUAACGCAAAGCAUCUCUCACCCAGUGAACUCAGUGACAUUUGGCUGCAAAUAGCCCGUGGAGGACAGAGAGGUUCCUGUGACUGAGCACUCCCAGCACCCCCUGCCCCCCCACCUCCAAAUGCCCUUAACACCCUCCCUGUGACUGACUCAAAUCAGCUUCACAUGCAAACCAGAGCCAAAUUAGAAAAUUAAACCCAGCAGACAGAAAUGUGCUAAACACUUGCAGAAUAAGCACAUGGAAAGUACAAAAAUCAGUUUUUAUUAUGAAAUUUGUAAAAGCAACUCGCUUCCAAUUUGGAAUCUUCUCGCUAAUGAAAUCAUUUUUCUCAUCCUCCCAGCUGUGCGGGGAGCAUGAGUUAUUCCCAGUCCCUCUGUCACAGCUCCAGUCCCACUGAACUCAGAGGAGUCAAUGAGGUCUUUCUCCCCACAUUGAACUGAUGCGGGGGAUGUGGAAUUGUAGUCAACCAGAGCACAUUCUGCAUAUGUUGUCUGUCUCAAAUGUUUGGACAUCAGUUAGCAAAUAUGACAGGGUGACUGAUGAAUGACAGUUCAACCAAGAAACGGUUGAACGUGUUCCUCUAUUCUACUUUGCAUUUAAAGAGUCGGGUGUUGCUCCAGGACUAUUUUGAGGAUAUGUUUUGAGAUUAAAUCGACAACUAAAAAUUGCAUUUCUAAAUAAUAAUGUGUGAAAGAGAUUGCCUGAAAGAUUUUGCCAGCCUUUCUGAAAAGAUGCCAGUGGAUGCGCCAUCUAUCUUAGAAAAUUUUAGAUUGACAGUAAAAUGAUAUGUAAACACAAGUGGAGCCAACACGUUUGUUCUCUUUCUGCAACGCAAGUUUUGAAAUCACUUUUCCAGGUAUAUGCUUUAUAAAAAAUAAUCAAUUCAAAAACGGAGGGGAAAAUAUAUUAAAAUUUAUAUUCAGAGUACCAUAACAACAGCAGCAAAAUGACCCAAUGUUACCAAAUUGUAUGCACCGCUUGUCACCAGCACCUGCGUUUCAGAAAG
rnacentral:lncRNA from 1 species